rnacentral:rRNA from 1 species
AGUGGGGAAUUUUGGACAAUGGGCGCAAGCCUGAUCCAGCCAUUCCGCGUGAGUGAAGAAGGCCUUCGGGUUGUAAAGCUCUUUCGCAAGGGAAGAAAACUUACACAAUAACACUGUGUGAGGCUGACGGUACCUUGAUAAGAAGCACCGGCUAACUACGUGCCAGCAGCCGCGGUAAUACGUAGGGUGCGAGCGUUAAUCGGAAUUACUGGGCGUAAAGCGUGCGCAGGCGGUUUUGUAAGUCAGAUGUGAAAUCCCCGAGCUCAACUUGGGAACUGCGUUUGAAACUACAAGACUAGAAUAUGUCAGAGGGGGGUAGAAUUCCACGUGUAGCAGUGAAAUGCGUAGAGAUGUGGAGGAAUACCAAUGGCGAAGGCAGCCCCCUGGGAUAAUAUUGACGCUCAUGCACGAAAGCGUGGGGAGCAAACAGGAUUAGAUACCCUGGUAGUCCACGCCCUAAACGAUGUCUACUAGUUGUUGGUGGAGUAAAAUCCAUGAGUAACGCAGCUAACGCGUGAAGUAGACCGCCUGGGGAGUACGGUCGCAAGAUUA